rnacentral:rRNA from 1 species
AAACCAACAGGGAUUGCCCUAGUAACGGCGAGUGAAGCGGCAACAGCUCAAAUUUGAAAUCUGGCUCUUUUAGGGUCCGAGUUGUAAUUUGCAGAGGGCGCUUUGGCGUUGGCA